AUUUGCCGACGGGCCCCUGUUUGCUGUCAUCUCGACCGAUCGUUUCCCCCUGUCGUAGUAGAAGGCGGACAUCAUCGUGCAAAACGAAACAGCUGGUAAAUCAUACAUCGCCAUGUAGUCUGCUUUUGACGGAAGACUUGGCGCGCAAGCGUCAAAUGGUCGAUGACCUCGUGAGAAGGUGCAUGAUCGCAUAAUGUAUCCCCGGAGCGAAAGACUUGACCAGGUCGAAGCUCGGUGAAUAAAUGGAAAAAAAAAAAAGAAAGGCAAACGAAAAGUGUGAAACGGCGCGCUGUUCGAAUCGCACUGCUACGCAAGUGGUGGCGACUCUGUGCUGACCCAGCUACGCGACUCGUUUUUGUGCUGUCCCUCGCUUAUCGCGGUGUGAAACAGGAUCGCGGCCGGUACACGUGGCCUGUCGCGUUGGCUCCGCGUGGAACCGCGUCGCUUCCCCGAGGGCGCAGUUGCGAGAGGAGUGGUAGCGCAGGAGUAGUACGCGCUCACACACAUUCGGGCGGCUGACGUUGUAGGCAGCAUGGUUCUGUACGUGGUCCUGAUAUUCGUGCCCGUUGCCGCGAUCGGCUUUUUCACGUACAAGCUGAUCCAGAGCUUGCGGGACAAAGAGAAGAGGAAGGAGGACAAGAAGAAGCAGAAGCAGCAAAAGAAGAAGGCCAAGUGAGAGGACAAGGCUGCUGCCAGACUUUCACACACCCCCGUGCAUUGCAGGGCCCGACAUAUCAUCACUCACGGGGGGGCGAACGGCAAUCUUGGAAAACCAACCUCGCUACCGCUGCAGCGUUGACAAUGCUUCGAAGCGGCGGCGAGGUCCGUCUCGGAGUCGACUCGCGACAAUCCGGGCACCACCAAAGCCAUUCUUUGUUGUUUCCUCAUGUGCAUUCCAUUGGAUGAAGACUCCCUCAUUCUUACUCACUUCGAGAAAAAAGACUCAUGCCCGGCAGAUGCAAAUGUUCUAGGCGUUUUGGAAAAUUUUUUUCAUGUAUAUUUACAAGAAAAAAAAAAGGGGGAGUAGAGUCUGGGUUAUAGAAAAACUGUCUGAAAUAUUUAUUGUAUUUACAGAAUAAUAAUAAACAAA